rfam:Chlorobium luteolum DSM 273, complete genome.
GGGGAUGACAGGCUUUCGACAGGGCAGGUGUAAGAUAGAGUUGCACUCCGAGUUUCAGCAUGGAUGGACUCGUUAAAGAAGUCUAUGCAAACAAUACAUGCAGACGAUUAUUCGUAUGCAAUGGCUGCCUGAUUAGCAAAAGUUAAUUAAUCAGCCAUCGUCCUGCGGCCGAGGCGCUUACUCUGAAACCGCAGGAUGGCAUAAUCGCGCUUGAGCUUCAGCUCGCGCAAGUAAGCCCCGUCUGUUUUCGCCCGAAGGGGCAGGCGGGUAUCAAUUCGGGCUAGCGGAACGGCCUUUGCCGGUGCAGUUCCGGCCCGCGAAACUCCGAGCACCGGAGAUGAGUGUGGUGGCUUUAUCGAGCAAUGUUCUGGACCCGGGUUCGACUCCCGGCAUCUCCACCC